GACGAACGCUGGCGGCGUGCUUAACACAUGCAAGUCGAACGGAAAGGCCCUGCUUGCAGGGUACUCGAGUGGCGAACGGGUGAGUAACACGUGGGUGAUCUGCCCUGCACUUCGGGAUAAGCCUGGGAAACUGGGUCUAAUACCGGAUAGGAGCCAUUUUUAGUGUGAUGGUUGGAAAGUUUUUUCGGUGUAGGAUGAGCUCGCGGCCUAUCAGCUUGUUGGUGGGGUAAUGGCCUACCAAGGCGGCGACGGGUAGCCGGCCUGAGAGGGUGGACGGCCACAUUGGGACUGAGAGACGGCCCAGACUCCUACGGGAGGCAGCAGGGGGGAAUAUUGCACAAUGGGCGCAAGCCGGAUGCAGCGACGCCGCGUGGGGGAUGACGGCCUUCGGGUUGUAAACUCCUUUCGCUAGGGACGAAGCUUUUUGUGACGGUACCUAGAUAAGAAGCACCGGCUAACUACGUG
rnacentral:rRNA from 1 species